UACAGGGGGUGCAAACGUUGCUCGGAGUCAUUGGGCGUAAAGCGCACGUAGGCGGUUCGUUAUGUCGGAUGUGAAAGCCCUUGGCUUAACCGAGGAAGUGCAUCCGAAACUGGCGAGCUAGAGUACGAAAGAGGAUCGCGGAAUUCCCGGUGUAGAGGUGAAAUUCGUAGAUAUCGGGAGGAACACCGGUGGCGAAGGCGGCGAUCUGGGUCGAUACUGACGCUGAGGUGCGAAAGCGUGGGGAGCAAACAGG
rnacentral:rRNA from 1 species